rnacentral:rRNA from 1 species
UACAGGGGGUGCAAACGUUGCUCGGAAUCAUUGGGCGUAAAGCGCACGUAGGCGGUUCGUUAUGUCGGAUGUGAAAGCCCUUGGCUUAACCGAGGAAGUGCAUCCGAAACUGGCGAGCUAGAGUACGAAAGAGGAUCGCGGAAUUCCCGGUGUAGAGGUGAAAUUCGUAGAUAUCGGGAGGAACACCGGUGGCGAAGGCGGCGAUCUGGGUCGGCCCUGACACUGAGACGCGAAGGCGUGGGGAGCGAACGGG